UCCCGUGGGUGCGAUUCGCGUGCUUGUAUCAUUUUGACAUCAUCGGAUCUCCAUAUAUAUAGAGUGAGUCAAAGUGCAGUGGCCCCCAUUGAACAAUUGGAGAAGGGCUCCAAUGCAGUUGAAAAUAGAUGAGAAAAGACCAGGUACAUAAUGUUAUGCUUGAAAAUUUGAAUGGCCCAAUGGCCAGAUCUCCCCGGGGAGACCGCGCUGA
ensembl:ncRNA T14E8.6 ncRNA